rnacentral:rRNA from 1 species
GAUGAACUCUGGCGGCGUGCCUAAUACAUGAAAGUCGAGCGAAGCGGGGACGGGUGAGUAACACGUGGAUACACUCAUAUAAGACUGGGAUAACUUCGGGAACCCGUAGCUAGACAGGAUACUUCUAGAUGGAUGCACGCUGCAUUAGCUAGUUGGUAAGGUAACGGCUUACCAAGGCAACGAUGCAUAGACGACCUGAGAGUGUGAUCGGCCACACUUGAACUGAGACACGGUCCAGACUCCUACGGGAGGCAGCAGUAGGGAAUCUUCCACAAUUGGCGAAAGCCUGACGGAGCAACGCCGCGUGAGUGAUGAAGGUCUUCGGAUCGUAAAACUCUGUUAUUAGGGAAGCGGUACCUAAUCAGAAAGCCACGGCUAACUCCGUGCCAGCAGCCGCGGUAAUAC